rnacentral:lncRNA from 1 species
AAAAAACCCACCCUGAGUGAAACCCAACUGUUCCAUGCGUCACGUGAGAAACUGAUGUUUCUAGAGGAAAUCCACACACCCAUGCUGGACUCGCCAGGAGCUUUCUACCCAGAUCGCAGAUGGGCCAACACUGCCAGAUGCUGCGGCCAUACUUCCCUGGUACAAUCACUCGUCUACACUCUCUUCUCAAACCUUUACUCUCAGCCAGUAACCUUAACCAAUGUAAUGGGAUUAAGUAAGGACUGCUUCAUCUUCCCAUUGGUCAGCUACCAUCCCAUCCCUGCGUCUGUGCCCACCACGUCAUGUGCGUUUCCCUCCCUGAUGGACAGUGCUCCUGCUGCUCCCAUGAAGCCCAUCCCCUGGUGUCUCUAAUCAGGUCCACACUACCUUAAGAGCCUGUCGCUGGAGUUACUGCUCUCUCUCUCUAGUUUCAUCCUUCACUGAAUUAUGCAUAACAAUAUACAAACGUGUAUUAUUAUUAAUCUUUAAAAAUAAACCCUUGGCCCUACAUGCCUUUCAUAUUUUUCAUUUCUCUCCCUCAGUUCACAUAUGCUGCAAUCUAUUGUUUACACUUCCUUUCUCAUUGUCUCACCAUUUUUUUUUAAAUUUCACAAAUCCAUUCCAAGGGCACUGUUUGUAUCCAUCAAUCUGCC